rnacentral:tRNA from 1 species
GGGGAUAAAGCUCAGUUGGUAGAGUGCUUACCUUACAUAUACAAAACCCUGGGUUGGAUCCCCAGUAACCCCC